GGAGGAGUGCCCGAGUGGUUAAAGGGGACGGACUGUAAAUCCGUUGGCUCAGCCUACGUUGGUUCAAAUCCAACCUCCUCCACCA
rnacentral:tRNA from 3 species